UACGUAGGGUGCAAGCGUUAUCCGGAUUUACUGGGUUUAAAGGGUGUGUAGGCGGACUGUUAAGUCAGUGGUGAAAUCCCGGGGCUCAACCCCGGAACUGCCAUUGAUACUAUCAGUCUUGAAUACUGUGGAGGUGAGCGGAAUGUGUCAUGUAGCGGUGAAAUGCUUAGAGAUGACACAGAACACCGAUUGCGAAGGCAGCUCACUACGCAGUUAUUGACGCUGAGGCACGAAAGCGUGGGGAUCAAACAGG
rnacentral:rRNA from 1 species